rnacentral:rRNA from 1 species
CUACGGGGCGCUGCAGUGGGGAAUAUUGCACAAUGGGCGCAAGCCUGAUGCAGCCAUGCCGCGUGUAUGAAGAAGGCCUUCGGGUUGUAAAGUACUUUCAGCGGGGAGGAAGGGAGUAAAGUUAAUACCUUUGCUCAUUGACGUUACCCGCAGAAGAAGCACCGGCGAACUCCGUGCCAGCAGCCGCGGUAAUAGCGGAGGGUGCAAGCGUUAAUCGGAAUUACUGGGCGUAAAGCGCACGCAGGCGGUUUGUUAAGUCAGAUGUGAAAUCCCCGGGCUCAACCUGGGAACUGCAUCUGAUACUGGCAAGCUUGAGUCUCGUAGAGGGGGGUAGAAUUCCAGGUGUAGCGGUGAAAUGCGUAGAGAUCUGGAGGAAUACCGGUGGCGAAGGCGGCCCCCUGGACGAAGACUGACGCUCAGGUGCGAAAGCGUGGGGAGCAAACAGGAUUAGAUACCCGCGUAGUC